AACGAACGCAGGCGGUAGGCUUACCCCAUGUAAGUCGAGCGCCACGCAAGGGGAGCGGCAGACGGGUGAGUAACGCGUGGGAAUCUACCCAUCUCUACGGAAUAACGCAUGGAAACGUGUGCUAAUACCGUAUACGUCCUACGGGAGAAAGAUUUAUCGGAGAUGGCUGAGACUGCGUUGGAUUAGCUAGUUGGUGGGGUAAAGGCCUACCAAGGCGACGAUCCAUAGCUGGUCUGAGAGGAUGAUCAGCCAAACUGGGACUGAGACACGGCCCAUACACCUACGGGAGGCAGCAGUGUGGAAUAUUGGACAAUGGGCGCAAGCCUGAUCCAGCCAUGCCGCGUGAGUGAUGAAGUCCCUAGGGUUGUAAAGCUCUUGCACCGGUGAAGAUAAUGACGGUAACCGGAGAAGAAGCCCCGGCUAACUUCGUGCCAGCAGCCGCAGUAAGAC
rnacentral:rRNA from 1 species